GAUGAACGCUGGCGGCGUGCCUAAUACAUGCAAGUCGAGCGAACAGACGAGGAGCUUGCUCCUCUGACGUUAGCGGCGGACGGGUGAGUAACACGUGGAUAACCUACCUAUAAGACUGGGAUAACUUCGGGAAACCGGAGCUAAUACCGGAUAAUAUAUUGAACCGCAUGGUUCAAUAGUGAAAGACGGUUUUGCUGUCACUUAUAGAUGGAUCCGCGCCGCAUUAGCUAGUUGGUAAGGUAACGGCUUACCAAGGCAACGAUGCGUAGCCGACCUGAGAGGGUGAACGGCCACACUGGAACUGAGACACGGUCCAGACACCUACGGGAGGCAGCAGUAGGGAAGAUUCCGCAAUGGGCGAAAGCAUGACGGAGCAACGCCGAGUGAGUGAUGAAGGUCUUCGGAUCGGAAAACUCUGUUAUUAGGGAAGAAAAAAUGUGGAAGUAACUAUGCACGUAUUGACGGUAACUAAUCAGAAAGCCACGGCUAACUACGUG
rnacentral:rRNA from 1 species